rnacentral:rRNA from 1 species
AACGAACGCUGGCGGCAGGCCUAACACAUGCAAGUCGAGCGAGCAUUUCGGUGCUAGCGGCGGACGGGUGAGUAACGCGUGGGAACGUGCCCUUUUCUGCGGAAUAGUCCUGGGAAACUGGGGGUAAUACCGCAUACGCCCUUUUGGGGAAAGAUUUAUCGGAGAAGGAUCGGCCCGCGUUGGAUUAGGUAGUUGGUGGGGUAAUGGCCCACCAAGCCGACGAUCCAUAGCUGGUUUGAGAGGAUGAUCAGCCACACUGGGACUGAGACACGGCCCAGACUCCUACGGGAGGCAGCAGUGGGGAAUCUUAGACAAUGGGGGCAACCCUGAUCUAGCCAUGCCGCGUGAGUGAUGAAGGCCUUAGGGUUGUAAAGCUCUUUCAGCUGGGAAGAUAAUGACGGUACCAGCAGAAGAAGCCCCGGCUAACUCCGUG